rnacentral:sRNA from 1 species
UUCACGGCGAUGCUGCGCGUUCCAAACGCCGCGGCGCCGUGUACGGCCGGCGAUGCGCCUUCCGCGUCUCCCGAAUCCGCGAGGCGGAUUCGGCGUGACGACGCGUCGAUCCCAAACUCGCAUGAUCCAGACGCCGCAAUCGGCACUGAGCGAGUGGCGGCAUCGCCGGCCGGAACAAGA